rnacentral:rRNA from 1 species
GCAGGCAGGUGGGGAGUGUCCACCAUCAUGCCUUUAUGACCUGGGCUACACACGUGUACAAUGGACGGUACAACGAGCUGCAAGACCGCGAGGUGGAGUAAUCUCAUAAAACCGUUUUCAGUUCGGAUUGUAGGCUGCAACUCGCCUACAUGAAGCUGGAAUCGCUAGUAAUCGCGGAUCAGCAUGCCGCGGUGAAUACGUUCCCGGGCCUUGUACACACCGCCCGUCACACCACGAGAGUUUGUAACACCCGAAGUCGGUGGGGUAACCUUUUUGGAGCCAGCCGCCUAAGGUGGACAGAUGAAGGGGGGG